AUACAAGACAGAAAUAUAAGGAAAAAAAAAGAAAAGUAAAAUCUUUUGCCUUCUUCUUCAAGUUUCUUUCCAAACUUCCUGCGAACAUUUUCUUUCAGAUUUUGAUCGGAGUUGUGCAAACAUGAUGACCCGUGGAGCGACAAGGAUGACCCGAGUAGUUAUGGGUUAUAUGGGUCCACGUUACUUUUCAACUGCAGUUCUUCGAAAUGAUGCUGGAACCGGAAUUGUCGGUGGGGCCACUGCCGGACUCUUGCAUGGGUUUCCGGUGAAUCCAUCGGAGAAAGGAGUAGUGACGUGGGUUAGACAUUUUUCGGUGAUGGGUUCACGCAGCGCUAGUACUGCGGCUUUGAAUGAUAAGGAGCAAGAGAAAGACAGUAGCGACAAGAAAGUGGAGAACGCCGCUGGUUCCUGCGGUGCUGAGAAAUCUGUAGUGAGUUAUUGGGGUGUUCCUCCUUCAAAAGCUAAUAAACCAGAUGGUACUGAAUGGAAAUGGAAUUGCUUUAGGCCAUGGGAGACCUAUGAGGCUGAUAUGUCGAUAGAUCUGACAAAACACCAUGUGCCUGUAACUUUCUUGGACAAAUUUGCUUAUUGGACUGUUAAGGUCCUUCGAUAUCCCACUGAUAUAUUUUUUCAGAGGAGAUAUGGUUGCAGAGCAAUGAUGUUAGAAACAGUGGCGGCGGUGCCUGGAAUGGUAGGAGGUCUGUUGUUGCACUGUAAGUCAUUGAGGCGAUUCGAACAGAGUGGUGGAUGGAUUAAAGCUCUGCUUGAAGAAGCCGAAAAUGAGAGGAUGCAUUUGAUGACUUUCAUGGAAGUUGCAAAUCCAAAUGUGUACGAACGUGCCCUGGUUUUUGCAGUGCAAGGCGUAUUCUUCAACGCUUACUUUGUUGGUUACCUUAUUUCCCCAAAAUUGGCUCAUCGUAUCGUUGGAUACUUGGAAGAAGAGGCUAUCCAUUCUUACACUGAGUUCCUUAAGGAAUUGGACAAUGGUAAUAUUGAGAAUGUCCCUGCUCCUGCUAUUGCCAUUGAUUACUGGCGCUUGCCUAAGGACGCUACUCUUCGCGAUGUUGUUAUGGUUGUUAGGGCUGAUGAGGCUCAUCAUCGCGAUGUCAACCACUAUGCAUCUGACAUUCAUUACCAAGGACAACAGCUGAAGGACUCACCAGCACCACUUGGAUAUCACUAAGCCACUAAUAAUAGUACAAAGAGAUGAGAAGAGAUAUCAAGCUAAAAGUUACACUUUUAUGUUCUUUUCUUGGGGUCUUAAUAGAGCUAUGUAGUAGAGAGGAACUGGUUCUUGCAUAUUUCGUCGUUGCAGCUGAGGGGGCGGACAUCAAAUGGAUUAGAGUUAUCACAGAAUUGGAAGAGGUUCCCUUCCUCUUUGGAAGGGCGGCGCCUUAGGACCCAAAUUCAAGAGGCCUCAUUUUUAGCAAUAAAAAAAAUAUUUUAAAUAUUUUUAAAAUUGUACUGAUUGUAUAGUUUAAUACUACACAAAAAGAAUACUAUUUAUAGAAAAAGGA